GAUGAAGAACGUAGCGAAAUGCGAUAAAUAAUGUGAAUUGCAGAAUUCAGUGAAUCAUCGAAUCUUUGAACGCACAUUGCGCCCGCCAGUAUUCUGGCGGGCAUGCCUGUUCGAGCGUCAUUUCAACCAUCAAGCCCCCGGCUUGUGUUGGGGACCUGCGGCUGCCGCAGGCCCUGAAAACCAGUGGCGGGCUCGCUAGUCACUCCGAGCGUAGUAAUACAUCUCGCUCAGGGCGUGCUGCGGGUUCCGGCCGUUAAAAAGCCUUAUUUACCCAAGGUUGACCUCGGAUCAGGUAGGAAGACCCGCUGAACUUAAGCAUAUCAAUAAGCGGAGGA
rnacentral:misc_RNA from 1 species